rnacentral:tRNA from 1 species
UGGACUAUAGCCAAGUGGUAAGGCAACGGACUUUGACUCCGUCAUUCCGCUGGUUCGAGUCCAGCCACUCCAA